rnacentral:rRNA from 1 species
UACGGGGGGAGCAAGCGUUGUUCGGAUUUACUGGGCGUAAAGGGCGCGUAGGCGGCGCAACAAGUCACUUGUGAAAUCUCCGGGCUUAACCCGGAGCGGCCAAGUGAUACUGUCGUGCUAGAGUGCGGAAGGGGGCUACUGGAAUUCUCGGUGUAGCGGUGAAAUGCGUAGAUAUCGAGAGGAACACCUGCGGCGAAGGCGGGUAGCUGGGCCGACACUGACGCUGAGGCGCGAAAGCCAGGGGGAGCGAACGGGG